rnacentral:lncRNA from 1 species
ACAAUGGGGGCCCAAGGUGAGAUGAAGCUGUAAUCUCACUGGAAGGACUAGAGGUUAGAGGAGACCCCCCCGAAAUAAAAAACAGCAUAUUGACGCUGGGAAAGACCAGAGAUCCUGCUGUCUCCUCAGCAUCAUUCCAGGCACAGAACGCCAGAAAAUGGAAUGGUGCUGUUGAAUCAACAGGUU